rnacentral:rRNA from 1 species
UAACCCUGGUAGUCCACGCUGUAAACGAUGUCGACUUGGAGGUUGUUCCCUUGAGGAGUGGCUUCCGGAGCUAACGCGUUAAGUCGACCGCCUGGGGAGUACGGCCGCAAGGUUAAAACUCAAAUGAAUUGACGGGGGCCCGCACAAGCGGUGGAGCAUGUGGUUUAAUUCGAUGCAACGCGAAGAACCUUACCUACUCUUGACAUCCAGAGAACUUAGCAGAGAUGCUUUGGUGCCUUCGGGAACUCUGAGACAGGUGCUGCAUGGCUGUCGUCAGCUCGUGUUGUGAAAUGUUGGGUUAAGUCCCGCAACGAGCGCAACCCUUAUCCUUUGUUGCCAGCGGUUCGGCCGGGAACUCAAAGGAGACUGCCAGUGAUAAACUGGAGGAAGGUGGGGAUGACGUCAAGUCAUCAUGGCCCUUACGAGUAGGGCUACACACGUGCUACAAUGGCAUAUACAAAGAGAAGCGACCUCGCGAGAGCAAGCGGACCUCAUAAAGUAUGUCGUAGUCCGGAUUGGAGUCUGCAACUCGACUCCAUGAAGUCGGAAUCGCUAGUAAUCGUGGAUCAGAAUGCCACGGUGAAUACGUUCCCGGGCCUUGUACACACCGCCCGUCACACCAUGGGAGUGGGUUGCAAAAGAAGUAGGUAGC